AUUGCUUCUCAGUCUUUUGGCUAAGAUCAAGUGUAGUCUCUGUUCUUAUCAGCUUACUAUCUGAUAUGGCCUCUACCCGAGGACGAUACAUUAAAUGAAUUUUUGGAAAUAGGAGAUGGAAUAGGAGCCUGCUGUCUACUCCAUGCAUCAAACUGGUGUUACAGUAUCUCCAGGAACGGUGCACCAAAA